AGGGAAAGUGUGGAAAACACUAUAAAUCCUCCUAAAUGGGUUGACAGCUAAAAAAGAUGCAAUGUCAAUAUGCUGAAGAAAUUGUAAGCUCCUAAGCAA